AUUGAACGCUGGCGGCAUGCCUUACACAUGCAAGUCGAACGGCAGCACGGGCUUCGGCCUGGUGGCGAGUGGCGAACGGGUGAGUAAUACAUCGGAACGUGCCCUGUAGUGGGGGAUAACUAGUCGAAAGAUUAGCUAAUACCGCAUACGACCUGAGGGUGAAAGCGGGGGACCGCAAGGCCUCGCGCUACAGGAGCGGCCGAUGUCUGAUUAGCUAGUUGGUGGGGUAAAGGCCUACCAAGGCGACGAUCAGUAGCUGGUCUGAGAGGACGAUCAGCCACACUGGGACUGAGACACGGCCCAGACUCCUACGGGAGGCAGCAGUGGGGAAUUUUGGACAAUGGGGGCAACCCUGAUCCAGCAAUGCCGCGUGUGUGAAGAAGGCCUUCGGGUUGUAAAGCACUUUUGUCCGGAAAGAAAUCGCCUCGGUUAAUACCUGGAGUGGAUGACGGUACCGGAAGAAUAAGCACCGGCUAACUACGUGCCAGCAGCCGCCGUAAAAC
rnacentral:rRNA from 1 species